rnacentral:sRNA from 1 species
UUAUCGCCAUUCCCCUGAUCCUCCAUUCGUACGCAAUGAUGUGUUUGCAACGCAAUUUAUUUAAAAUGCAGAAUUUUGGGAAGAUUGGCUGAUAAGAAAUGUGGAGAUGAUCAAAAGUGAUCUAAUAAUGAGGGCUGACUAAUUGGCGAAUGAAUGGAAUGCCUAGACCUGGAUUAAAGGAUGAAUUAAAGAAGUUACAUGGAAUUAUAAGUAGAAGCCCCACUUUUAAUGCUUUUGGAGAAGAAGCUGCCUGUGGAGCACCCCUUGUCAACAGAAAGAAGAAGACAACGUAUUUCUGACACCUAUUGAUGUGGAUAUGGACGAAGCCAGCCGACGAGGACUCAUUUGAAUCUGGACGAGGACGAGCCCUCAAUUGGAUCUGGACGAAGAUAAGGGCUUAUUUGAAUCUGGACGAGGACGAAGCCAGCAGGAUGCGUUGAGCACUCAAUUGGAUCUAGACAAAUUAUAAACUAUUUUAAGUGACAUUGUAUUUUAUUUUUAAUCACCAUAUUGUAAUUGUUUCUCUUCGUGGAGGCCAGUCCCAAAAAAAAAAAGGACGGCCUCCAAA